UCUGAAUUAGGAAGUAGAGCAGCCAUCUGUAAGCUACGACAAUAUUUGUGAACGGAAGAGGGCAGCCACAUGGAUUUUUUCCCCCUUUCCCUUUACUGCAAAGCCUACAAAUCUGCUCCCUGGAAUGAAACGAUCUCUGAAGAAAGGCAAUGGCUCGAUGUUGUUUACUUUGAACAUUUUUUCCCUUGCAAAAGUAACAAGCGGGAUUUGUGCGUGCGUGUGUGUGCGUGCGCCAGAGUCAAGUUUCCAUGAAUUUCCUGCACUUGGAGCAUUUUAAUAUUAACAAUAAAAGCAACGAUCCAGGGGGACUCAAUCUGACUUGCACGGCAGAUUUAAGGUGGCAAUUUGUUUACAACUUUCAUUUUUCCUCCAGCCGCUGGGGGUAAACAUUACAAACUUUCUCUACUACAGGAUUUCUCUCUUAAGGAAGCCGCCACUCCACACUUAUUGGAAAACGUAACAAAGCAAAACUUCGGCCAAAAAGAAGGGAACCAUUGAAACUUUUCCCCGUUACAGCCUGGUGUUAUAGAAGUUGAACGGAACUACAGAGGGAUGGAGAGAAGCACAGCAAAGAAAGAGGCAAGAGACUAGGGAAAGAGAGGAGAGUGACCCACAAGGCAAAACACCGUGAAACUGUCCCGGAUGACUACAUUCUCUGUUCAUGUCUAAGACCCCAUAGGGGAACAGAAGUGUGAGGAUAUACUGAUUGUUUGCAGUAUUGUAUCCUGGGAACCAGCAUGGCUAUGAGAGAGACAAGGUGAAAGGUAAAGUAUGAUCUCAUGGACAAAAUUCUGCCCUUGUCUUUGUGACGGUGAAGGCUCCUUUCAUAGUGGAACCAGGCUGGCUCAACUGCACAAGAAGAGGGGAAGGAAGGAUUCCAGUCAGCCCUACAAGGAACAACGAUAACCCCAUCUAGUAUGGAGCUCAGCUCUGUGGGCCCCACUGGGCAACAAUGUGCAGGAAUGAUUGGGAGUGGGAUCUAGACAGGCCAGGUAGGGUUGGAGUGGGGCCAGGGAUCUGAGAAGAAGGGCUAUUUGCACUGGGCUCCAUUAUGGUGUUGCCACUAGCCCUGCAUUAGGGACAGUGUGUUGCUGCACUACUCCUGCAGCAACACAAGUGGGAGAUUGUGACUCAGAGGUUUACAGUGUCCCUCCCUCUCCCCACACUAUUCUGGGGAGGGAGAAUGCUGUGCUGCGUCUGUAUUCAGCAUGAAAUAUGCACACCAAGGUGGUGGCAUAACUGCACUGAUGGGUGCACUGCAAGGCUGAUCCAAGGGUUUGCCCACUCCCCACCCCCUCCUGCCCACCUGUA